rnacentral:rRNA from 1 species
AAGCGCUUGCAACUAGACCUGUGCGCGGUAGUUCCCCCUUCCUUUUGGCUGGGUUAUUCUACCGUGUCCAGGCCAACAUCGGUUUCGGUGGUCGGUUAAAGGCCCCGGGAAUGUAUCUUUUGGUCACAAAAGACUUAUAGCCCGGGGUGUCAUGCGGCCUACUGGGACCGAGGAACGCGCUUCGGCGAGGAUGUUGGCGUAAUGGUUGUAAGCG